UACGGGGGGAGCAAGCGUUGUUCGGAUUUACUGGGCGUAAAGGGCGCGUAGGCGGCCACCGCAAGUCAAUUGUGAAAUCUCCGGGCUUAACUCGGAAAGGUCAACUGAUACUGCGGGGCUAGAGUGCGGAAGGGGCAACUGGAAUUCUCGGUGUAGCGGUGAAAUGCGUAGAUAUCAAGAGGAACACCUGAGGUGAAGACGGGUUGCUGGGCUGAUACUGACGCUGAGGCGCGAAAGCUAGGGUAGCAAACGGG
rnacentral:rRNA from 1 species